GGACAUCAAUAAAUUAAAGCCAAAUAGCCCAAAACAAAAAAAAUUCAAAUGCCAAACAGAUCAUUCCCAAACUGAACCAAUCCGAACUAUUUAGUUUGGAUUUUGAUUGAAAUUUCUCAACAGAAAAUCAAAAAUUCCAAGCCGCGGCUUUCGUAUGCAUUCUGUAUUGCCUUAACGCCACCCCUAGCGGCAAUCAGAUCUAGUCAACUUUCAAAGAUCAUUUGCAUGCAUAUUACAUUUUCAUUUACCUUUGUGUUCAUAGGAUCUAAACCCGUUCAACAAAGGUCAAAAGCCGUUGAUAACCUUGCUCCAUGGUUUCACAUUUCUCCAGGGAGCAUUGUGUCUCCUGGCAGAUCACAUAUACCAAUACCCUCUCCUGUAAGAUGCGCGACACAUCUCUUCUCAGCAAGCAAUUCAUCUUCUGACUUUUUUAUUCGGCUUCGGAGGUAGUCAUCCAUUAAUACAUCUUUGACAAGUUCAUAGUCACCAUCACCUUUUGAUCUGCAUGGCAUGCUGAAAACUAUAUCCUUUGCUAUCCCAUAAGGAUUUCCAUUGGUGUACACGCCAGUGGAGAACCAAUCGCCUUCUGGUGUAGGAGUCACAAGAGACCUCAUUGCAUCAACAACUGAUACAGCAGUCGAUGCAGCAGAAGAUCUUCCCCAUUUCUGAAUAAGUACACCA
rnacentral:misc_RNA from 1 species